AUUGAACGCUGGCGGCAGGCCUAACACAUGCAAGUCGAACGGCGCGGCGGACGGGUAAGUGAUACCUAUGAAUCUGCCUGUGACUGAUGGAGAACGUUCGGAACCGGACGCUGAUACCGCAACCUCUCGGAUUCGCCUAGGCCGGAUUAGCUAGUGGGUGAGGGAAUGGCUCACCAAGGCGACGACCCGUAACUGGUCUGAGAGGAUGAGCAGUCACACUGGAACUGAGACACGGUCCAGACUCCUACGGGAGGCAGCAGUGGGGAAUAUUGGACAAUGGGCGAAAGCCUGAUGCAGCCAUGCCGCGUGUGUGAAGAAGGUCUUCGGAUUGUAAAGCACUUUCAGCUGGGAGGCGUUACCGACAGAAGAAGCACCGGCUAACUCUGUGCCAGCAGCCGCGGUAAUUC
rnacentral:rRNA from 1 species